rnacentral:rRNA from 1 species
UACGUAGGAGGCAAGCGUUGUCCGGAAUUACUGGGCGUAAAGAGCUCGUAGGUGGUUGGUCGCGUUGUUCGUGAAAUCUCACGGCUUAACUGUGAGCGUGCGGGCGAUACGGGCAGACUGGAGUACUGCAGGGGAGACUGGAAUUCCUGGUGUAGCGGUGGAAUGCGCAGAUAUCAGGAGGAACACCGGUGGCGAAGGCGGGUCUCUGGGCAGUAACUGACGCUGAGGAGCGAAAGCGUGGGGAGCGAACAGG